GGGGUUGUAGCUCAGUGGUAGAGUGCAUGCCUCACGUGCGUGAGGCACUGGGUUCAAUCUUCAGCACCACA
rnacentral:tRNA from 1 species